rnacentral:rRNA from 1 species
AGUGGCGGACGGGUGAGUAACGCGUGGGUAACCUGCCUCAUACAGGGGGAUAACAGUUGGAAACGGCUGCUAAUACCGCAUAAGCGCACAGUACCGCAAUGGUACCGUGUGAAAAACUCCGGUGGUAUGAGAUGGACCCGCGUCUGAUUAGCUAGUUGGUGGGGUAACGGCCUACCAAGGCGACGAUCAGUAGCCGACCUGAGAGGGUGACCGGCCACAUUGGGACUGAGACACGGCCCAA